rnacentral:rRNA from 1 species
AGAGUUUGAUCAUGGCUCAGAUUGAACGCUGGCGGCAUGCCUUACACAUGCAAGUCGAACGGUAACAGGUCUUCGGAUGCUGACGAGUGGCGAACGGGUGAGUAAUACAUCGGAACGUGCCUAGUAGUGGGGGAUAACUACUCGAAAGAGUGGCUAAUACCGCAUGAGAUCUACGGAUGAAAGCAGGGGAUCGCAAGACCUUGUGCUACUAGAGCGGCCGAUGGCAGAUUAGGUAGUUGGUGGGAUAAAAGCUUACCAAGCCGACGAUCUGUAGCUGGUCUGAGAGGACGAUCAGCCACACUGGGACUGAGACACGGCCCAGACUCCUACGGGAGGCAGCAGUGGGGAAUUUUGGACAAUGGGCGCAAGCCUGAUCCAGCAAUGCCGCGUGCAGGAUGAAGGCCUUCGGGUUGUAAACUGCUUUUGUACGGAACGAAAAGCCCUGGGUUAAUACCCUGGGGUCAUGACGGUACCGUAAGAAUAAGCACCGGCUAACUACGUGCCAGCAGCCGCGGUAAUACGUAGGGUGCGAGCGUUAAUCGGAAUUACUGGGCGUAAAGCGUGCGCAGGCGGUUUUGUAAGACAGAGGUGAAAUCCCCGGGCUCAACCUGGGAACUGCCUUUGUGACUGCAAGGCUAGAGUACGGCAGAGGGGGAUGGAAUUCCGCGUGUAGCAGUGAAAUGCGUAGAUAUGCGGAGGA